rnacentral:rRNA from 1 species
AUUGAACGCUGGCGGCAGGCCUAACACAUGCAAGUCGAACGGUAACAGGAAGAAGCUUGCUUCUUUGCUGACGAGUGGCGGACGGGUGAGUAAUGUCUGGGAAACUGCCUGAUGGAGGGGGAUAACUACUGGAAACGGUAGCUAAUACCGCAUAAUGUCGCAAGACCAAAGAGGGGGACCUUCGGGCCUCUUGCCAUCGGAUGUGCCCAGAUGGGAUUAGCUAGUAGGUGGAGUAACGGCUCACCUAGGCGACGAUCCCUAGCUGGUCUGAGAGGAUGACCAGCCACACUGGAACUGAGACACGGUCCAGACUCCUACGGGAGGCAGCAGUGGGGAAUAUUGCACAAUGGGCGCAAGCCUGAUGCAGCUAUGCCGCGUGUAUGAAGAAGGCCUUCGGGUUGUAAAGUACUUUCAGCGGGGAGGAAGGGAGUAAAGUUAAUACCUUUGCUCAUUGACGUUACCCGCAGAAGAAGCACCGGCUAACUCCGUG